rnacentral:rRNA from 1 species
GACGAACGCUGGCGGCGUGCUUAACACAUGCAAGUCGAACGGAAAGGCCCUGCUUUUGUGGGGUGCUCGAGUGGCGAACGGGUGAGUAACACGUGAGUAACCUGCCCUUGACUUUGGGAUAACUUCAGGAAACUGGGGCUAAUACCGGAUAGGAGCUCCUGCUGCAUGGUGGGGGUUGGAAAGUUUCGGCGGUUGGGGAUGGACUCGCGGCUUAUCAGCUUGUUGGUGGGGUAGUGGCUUACCAAGGCUUUGACGGGUAGCCGGCCUGAGAGGGUGACCGGCCACAUUGGGACUGAGAUACGGCCCAGACUCCUACGGGAGGCAGCGGUGGGGAAUAUUGCACAAUGGGCGGAAGCCUGAUGCAGCAACGCCGCGUGCGGGAUGACGGCCUUCGGGUUGUAAACCGCUUUCAGCAGGGACGAAGCUUUUUGUGACGGUACCUGCAGAAGAAGCACCGGCUAACUACGUG